rnacentral:snRNA from 1 species
UUGUUUCAGCAGCACAUGUACGAAAAUUGGAACAAAACAGAGAUUAGCAUGGUCCCUGCACAAGGAUGACAGGCAAAUUCGUGAAGCAUUCCAUAUUUUU